UACGUAGGGUGCAAGCGUUGUCCGGAAUUAUUGGGCGUAAAGAGCUCGUAGGCGGUCUGUCGCGUCUGCUGUGAAAACUCGGGGCUUAACCCCGGCCUGCAGUGGGUACGGGCAGACUAGAGUGCGGUAGGGGAGACUGGAAUUCCUGGUGUAGCGGUGAAAUGCGCAGAUAUCAGGAGGAACACCGGUGGCGAAGGCGGGUCUCUGGGCCGUAACUGACGCUGAGGAGCGAAAGCAUGGGGAGCGAACAGG
rnacentral:rRNA from 1 species